rfam:Octopus bimaculoides Scaffold57771_contig_146, whole genome shotgun sequence.
GUAUUGUGGCAGUAUGUAUGCUAAAAUUGGAACGAAAGAAAGAAGAAUUAUAUGCACCCAGCGCAAGGAUGGUACGUAAAUUCGUGGAGCUUUAUUUGGAUAU